UGGAGUGCUUGCACUCCUGAUGCUUAGCGGCGGACGGGUGAGUAAUACGUAGGUAACCUGCCCUUAAGACCGGGAUAACUCACGGAAACGUGGGCUAAUACCGGAUAGGCGAUUUCCUCGCAUGAGGGAAUCGGGAAAGGCGGAGCAAUCUGCCACUUAUGGAUGGACCUACGGCGCAUUAGCUAGUUGGUGGGGUAACGGCUCACCAAGGCGACGAUGCGUAGCCGACCUGAGAGGGUGAUCGGCCACACUGGGACUGAGACACGGCCCAGACUCCUACGGGAGGCAGCAGUAGGGAAUCUUCCGCAAUGGACGCAAGUCUGACGGAGCAACGCCGCGUGAGUGAUGAAGGUUUUCGGAUCGUAAAGCUCUGUUGCCAGGGAAGAACGCUAUGGAGAGUAACUGUUCCAUAGGUGACGGUACCUGAGAAGAAAGCCCCGGCUAACUACGUGCCAGCAGCCGCGGUAAUACGUAGGGGGCAAGCGUUGUCCGGAAUUAUUGGGCGUAAAGCGCGCGCAGGCGGUCAUGUAAGUCUGGUGUUUAAACCCGGGGCUCAACUCCGGGUCGCAUCGGAAACUGUGUGACUUGAGUGCAGAAGAGGAAAGUGGAAUUCCACGUGUAGCGGUGAAAUGCGUAGAGAUGUGGAGGAACACCAGUGGCGAAGGCGACUUUCUGGGCUGUAACUGACGCUGAGGCGCGAAAGCGUGGGGGAGCAAACAGGAUUAGAUACACUGGUAGUCCACGCCGUAAACGAUGAAUGCUAGGUGUUAGGGGUUUCGAUACCCUUGGUGCCGAAGUUAACACAUUAAGCAUUCCGCCUGGGGAGUACGGUCGCAAGACUGAAACUCAAAGGAAUUGACGGGGACCC
rnacentral:rRNA from 1 species